ensembl:miRNA
UAUUAAAUUGGUGCAAAAGUAAUUGCGGUUUUUGCCACUGAAAGUAAUGGCAAAAACUGCAAUUACUUUUGCACCAACCUAAA